rnacentral:precursor_RNA from 15 species
AAAAACAGAGAUCAAAAAUCCAGGGUGUCUCAAAAGACUUAGUGCAGUUUUAAAACAUUAAAUAUUAAAACUGUGCAAAGGCUUUUGGGCCAACCUGUAUCAUAUUCUCCGUGACCACA